UACAGAGGUCUCAAGCGUUGUUCGGAUUCAUUGGGCGUAAAGGGUGCGUAGGUGGCGCUGUAAGUCGGGUGUGAAAUUUCGGAGCUUAACUCCGAAACUGCAUUCGAUACUGCGGUGCUUGAGGACUGGAGAGGAGACUGGAAUUCAUGGUGUAGCAGUGAAAUGCGUAGAUAUCCUGAGGAACACCGGUGGCGAAAGCGGCGCGCUGGACCCCUGCUGACGCUGAGGCGCGAAAGCCAGGGGAGCAAACAGG
rnacentral:rRNA from 1 species